rnacentral:rRNA from 1 species
UACGUGAGUGGCAAACGUUAUCCGGAAUUACUGGGCGUAAAGGGUUCGUAGGGGGCAUGACAAGUGCAUGGUUAAAUCUACUGGCUCAACUGGUAGGCCGCUGUGUAGACUGUUGUGCUAGAGGUAUGUAGAGGUAAGCGGAAUUCCCAGAGUAGGAGUAAUAUCCGUAGAUACUGGGAGGAACACCAAUAGCGAAGGCAGCUUACUGGACAUUACCUGACCCUGAAGAACGAAAGCGUGGGGAGCGAACCGG